AACAACUGAGAUGCCUAACUUAGGACAAUGGUUGAAACUGUUCAGGAAAGAAAUUAGAACAGCUUUAAAAUGGAAAAGUAUUUCAUGACCUUCUACAUGCUCUAGCAUCAUACUGGACGGGAGACAUGGUCACAGCUCAUGUGACAUUUAGUUUGAGUAUCUUCUGGAUGCAGGAACUCCCUUCCCCUACACUGGCUGUGGAGCAGUCUGUCCAUUCCUGUUGACUGAGUGCCAUUUGACUCCCACUGGGACUGCGCUAACUCAUGUGGGAAAGGAGACUCAACACUUCUAGCAGAAAUGCCCUCUCUUCUUCUCCUGGAAACCUCGAGACUUGAGCCAGCAAGGCUGAGAGGGAAAGGAGAAAGCCAAGCUGUGUGCAUUGUUGACAGUGUCCAAACAGUUCGGAUGAGAUGAUGCUGAUUACAAGGACUGAAAGAAAGUGGAGAGCCAGGAUCUGGGGGUGGCUGAGAAAAGGAGAAACAAAUGCCUUGUGAAAGUUCCAGAAAGCAGAUAUUGCCUGCUGGGUAUCUUACAUCUGCCCUUCAAGGAGUGCCUUAUCCUACCUGAGGUUAGCCUCUCACGGGGCUCACUGAUGAGCAGGGAAAAUGGAGAGUCUUUAGGAGGGAGGAAAAUCUCAUUUAGAGGAAAUGACCCACUUCCUCUAAAGACACUUGGACAAACAUACCCUUUCGUGUGAACACCCUCUACUUUCCUGGCAGACACAACUCAAAAGUGCAGAUUUCCCAUUCACCUUAUCUUCUUGAACAUUUUAGUCCAUUUCACCUUUCUCCCAAGCCCCUUUUCCCAUGAAAACAUUUUUAGUCUUACAUUUUAGUCUUACAUUAAGUCCAGUGCUUAAGCCCUCUACCGCCCAGAGCCUUGUGCUCCAAAUAGACCUGGUCAAUUUAUUUCAAAUACAGCUGUCAGAACUAAGAAGCCAGCACCCAAAUUCACAGCUACCUCUAACUGCAUCUCACACAACUGAG
rnacentral:sRNA from 1 species